UACGGGGGGAGCAAGCGUUGUUCGGAUUUACUGGGCGUAAAGGGCGCGUAGGCGGCCACCGCAAGUCGACUGUGAAAUCUCCGGGCUUAACCCGGAAAGGUCAGCCGAUACUGCGGGGCUAGAGUGCAGAAGGGGCAACUGGAAUUCUCGGUGUAGCGGUGAAAUGCGUAGAUAUCGCUUGGAACGCCAAUGGUGAAAACAGGUUGCUGGGGGUGUGCUGACGCUGAGACACGAAAGCCAGGGGAGCGAACGGG
rnacentral:rRNA from 1 species